rnacentral:rRNA from 1 species
CGUCUAUAUACGUAUAGCAUAUCAAUAAGCGGAGGAAAAGAAACUAACUAGGAUUCCCUUAGUAACGGCGAGUGAAGCGGGAAGAGCUCAAAUUUGAAAUCUUCAAGGUUCUACCUUGACGAAUUGUAGUUUAAAGAAGUGUUUUCUGUUAGGAGUGAGUACAAAAGUUCCUUUGGAAUAGGGACAUCAUAGAGGGUGAGAAUCCCGUAUUUGGUACAUAUCCUCCUAGCUUUGUGAUACACUUUCAACGAGUCGGAUUGUUUGGGAAUGCAGUCCAAAAUGGGUGGUAAAUUUCAUCUAAAGCUAAAUAUUGGCGAGAGACCGAUAGCGAACAAGUACCGUGAGGGAAAGAUGAAAAGAACUUUGAAAAGAGAGUUAAACAGUACGUGAAAUUGUCAAAAGGGAAGCGUUUGACACCAGUGUUGUUUUCUCGAAAAUCAAUUAAGAAUGGCCUGAUUUUGUGUUGUAUUGACUUUAUCAGCUUUCUGCACUUUUUUCUUGUCUUUUUUAAUGCACUUUUCGUUUAACAAGUCAACAUCAAUUUCUUUUGUUGUAAAAGGGUCAUUGGAAGGUGGCUUUCUUUUCGGAGAAAGUGUUUAUAGCCUUUGGCCUCUGCAAUCGGAGAGAUUGAGGUCUGCAGCGUAGAUCCUUCGGGGUUAGAUACAUUUGUGCUAAGUUAUAGCCUUUCAUAGACAACUUGUUGACUAUGAUCAGUCAUGUAGCUUACUCGCUUAUGCUAUUUUACCUACGCUUAGGAUGUUGACUGAUAUGUAGUCGUA